UAUGUUGGUCACUACCCCGUUCUGGCUAACUUCGCUAUAGCAGAAAAUGAAUCCAUCGGAAGGGAACGCUACAACUUUAUGCAGCAUGGUAUUGAGUGAAAGGAGGAGGACCAUCAAGUAGCUCGCUCAUGGAACUGCCUCCAGCUUAACUUUGAGGAACAUUUUGGUUUGGCAGGAGAGUGCCUCUCCUAAUCCCACACUCUUGCUCAUCAGUUCUCUGGUGUGAAUCUACAAAAUGGAAAGCAGAUUGAAGUGAAGGGUCAAUGAGAGGACAACGUGGGUCCAGCAUUGGUCUGUGCCAAUUCGAUACAUCAUUAAAUGUCCAACUGGUUUCAACGUUUGAUUUGUCCCUUCACUAACGAAAGCUACGGUUCAUGUUGUGGAAAAUGCAAGCACACAUGCCCUCGGUCUGACAAAGGCUCCCCUAAAUUGAGCUAAAUCAGGUUUCUACUUUGAUUAUGCAAGUUACUAGAAUGUUUGGACUGUUAGUUCACUACUUAACACAAAACCGUGAACCAUGCAUUUGAGCAAAUUUUGUCAGCAUGGAUGCCCGUAGUUGGACCAAUAUUUUUUUAUCACAUGCGAUCAUGUAACCUAGGACUGCAUCAAUUCACUUUGACAAGGUGGUUGGAUGACCAAUCAUGAAUAUCGACAUUCACACUCUAGGGUGUAUGCCAUUUCCUUGGAUUCUGCUGCCAGUGAGGGACCAACUCCUCUCCGAGCAUCAUUACUUCAUAUGCAACCUUUUCUUUUUUUUUUUCGGUUUCUCAUUUCAAACCUUACUAAGUUGGAGUGUUUUAGCUCAUAGAUAGAUUAUUAAUUGUGAGAUCUCACAUCGAUUGAAGUGGGGUUCAAGUGUCAGCGAGAACCUAGAUCUCGUAAGGGUGGAUUGUGAGAUUCCAAUGUCAAUUGGAGAUGGAAACUAAACAUUGUAUAUAUGGGUUUAGAAACCUCUCAGUGGAAUACACGUUUUAAAAAUCUUGAGAGAAAGUCCAAAAAAGGCAAUAUCUAUGAGUGUA